rnacentral:rRNA from 1 species
UCGAGAAUCAUUCGCAAUGGGCGCAAGCCUGACGGUGCGACGUCGCGUGGAGGAUGAAGGUCUUCGGAUUGUAAACUCCUGUCAUGUGGGAUAAAUGGCUGGAUGACGAAUAGUCAUUCGGAAUGAUAGUACCACAGGAGGAAGAGACGGCUAACUCUGUGCCAGCAGCCGCGGUAAUACAGAGGUCUCGAGCGUUGUUCGGAUUUACUGGGCGUAAAGGGAGCGUAGGCGGUUCGGUAUGUCGAAUGUGAAAGCCCACAACUUAACUGUGGAAUGGCAUUCGAAACUACCGGGCUAGAGUACUGGAGAGGAGAGCGGAAUUCUUGGUGUAGCGGUGAAAUGCGUAGAUAUCAAGAGGAACACCGGUGGCGAAGGCGGCUCUCUGGACAGAUACUGACGC